rnacentral:rRNA from 1 species
UCGUACGCGGGGUAUCGGCCACGAGUGGCGCACGGGUGACUAGCGCGUGGAAUCAUGCCCUGUUGUGGGGGAUAACCGAGGGAAAAUUCGGCUAAUACCGCAUGCGCCCGGAGGAGCGAUCCUGUGGGGAAAGAUUUAUACGCAGCAGGAGGGGCCCGCGUAGGAUUAGCUGGUUGACGGGGUAACGGCCCACCAAGGCGAUGAUCCGUAGCUGGUCUGAGAGGACGGCCAGCCACAUUGGGAUUGAGACACGGCCCAGACUCCUACGGGAGGCAUCAGUGGGGAAUUUUGGACAAUGGGGGCAACCGUGAUCCAGCCAUGUCGCGUGAGUGAAGAAGGCAUUCGGGUUGUAAAGCUUUUUCGUCCGGAACGAAACAGUGGAUGCUAACACCCUCCAUUAAUGACGGUACCGGAAGAAGAAGCACCGGCUAACUACGUGCC